UGAAGCCGGAGAUCCUAGGAGAAGUUAAAGCGCGACAACCAUAUACGCUUAUGGCAGCCAUCUCUUUCGCACGACAUCAAGAUGAGCAAUUGAACCAUGAAGCUCAGAGGACUAGGGUCACUCCUCAACCAGUAAUAUUGAAGCCCUCAGCCCCCCUACUAUCGACCAAGUCCCUACACCAAAGAGUUUAACAAGAGAAGAGCUUCGGGAGCGAUAUGCGAAGGGGUUAUGUUGGCAUUGUGACGAGUCG
rnacentral:lncRNA from 1 species